AGAGUUUGAUCAUGGCUCAGAACGAACGCUGGCGGCGUGGAUAAGACAUGCAAGUCAAACGCUGAUUACGGGGUAGCAAUAUUUCGUAGUUGGAGUGGCGAAAGGGUGCGUAACACGUGGGUAAUCUGCCGCGAAGACUGGGAUAACUUGCUGAAAGGCGAGCUAAUACCGGAUGUGAUUGCUGGAAGGCAUCUUUCAGCACUCAAAGUUGGGGACCGUAAGGUCUGACGCUUCGCGAUGAGCCCGCGGCCUAUCAGCUAGUUGGUGAGGUAAUGGCUCACCAAGGCUAAGACGGGUAGCUGGUCUGAGAGGACGACCAGCCACACUGGAACUGAGACACGGUCCAGACACCUACGGGUGGCAGCAGUCGAGAAUUUUUCACAAUGGGCGAAAGCCUGAUGGAGCGACGCCGCGUGGGGGAUGAAGGGCUUCGGUCCGUAAACCCCUGUCAUUUGCGAACAAACCUUGCUCAAUAACACUGGGCGAGUUGAUAGUAGCGAAAGAGGAAGGGACGGCUAACUCUGUGCCAGCAGCCGCGGUAAUACAGAGGUCCCAAGCGUUGUUCGGAUUCACUGGGCGUAAAGGGUGCGUAGGUGGUGGGGUAAGUUCGAUGUGAAAUCUCCGAGCUUAACUCGGAAAUGGCAUUGAAUACUAUCUCACUUGAGGGUCGGAGGGGAGACUGGAAUUCUCGGUGUAGCAGUGAAAUGCGUAGAUAUCGAGAGGAACACCAGUGGCGAAGGCGAGUCUCUGGACGACAUCUGACACUGAGGCACGAAAGCUAGGGGAGCAAACAGGAUUAGAUACCCUGGUAGUCC
rnacentral:rRNA from 1 species